UACGAAGGGGGCUAGCGUUGUUCGGAAUUACUGGGCGUAAAGGGCGCGUAGGCGGUCCUGAUCGUCGGAUGUGAAAGGCCUGGGCUCAACCUGGGAACUGCCUUCGAUACUGCGGGUCUCGAGUCCGGGAGAGGUGAGUGGAAUUCCUAGUGUAGAGGUGAAAUUCGUAGAUAUUAGGAAGAACACCAGUGGCGAAGGCGCUCACUGGCCCGGUACUGACGCUGAGGCGCGAAAGCGUGGGGAGCAAAUAGG
rnacentral:rRNA from 1 species